GUAGAUAUAUUAUUCGUGUAUAACUUCUAGAAAAUAUUAGUUUUAUUCUCUUGACAUCAGUCACAAUGUUCUAAAUGCAGCAAUUCAUCACUAGUGGUGUUCCUAUCAGAUCCGCAGAGCAUACAGAGUGGGUAACAAAAAUAAAUCUAUCCUUCUACAUAUAAUUAUGUCUAAACAUGAGAUGAAAGAAAAGACCAGUAACGGUUCUAACAAAUGUUUUUCUCUCCAUUAAACCUGAAAUAAUUUGUGAUCAGCCAUGCAGCAGGAUGUAAUUCUGGCUGUUUAUACUAGAUAAAUAUCUUUAAUAGCUUUUACUUUAGUGCUGAUGUUACAUCAAAAAAGCAAAUGAAGGCACUUAUUACACGGUACAUCUAGCUGGAGUUGAAUUCGUCCUCGGAAUAAACACAGAGCUCUAAAUGGACUCCUGUUUAUAUUCUACCUUAAAUACGAGCCUGCCAAUUGAGAUUAAUUGAAUUUAUGGUCCUAUUUCAUGUAUAAAAAUUUUUUUAUUGUGUCUUGUAAAUACACUAUAUUGCCAAAAGUAUUCGCUCACCCAUCCAAAUAAUCAGAAUCAGGUGUCCCAAUUACUUCCAUGGCCACAGGUGUAUAAAAUCAAGCACCUAGGCAUGCAGACUGUUUUUACAAACAUUUGUGAAAGAAUGGGUCGCUCUCAGGAGCUCAGUGAAUUCCAGCGUGGAACUGUGAUAGGAUGCCACCUGUGCAACAAAUCCAGUCGUGAAAUUUCCUCGCUCCUAAAUAUUCCACAGUCAACUGUCAGCUGUAUUAUAAGAACGUGGAAGUGUUUGGGAACGACAGCAACUCAGCCACGAAGUGGUAGGCCACGUAAACUGACGGAGCGGGGUCAGCGGAUGCUGAGGCGCAUAGUGCGAAGAGGUCACCAACUUUCUGCAGAGUCAAUCGCUACAGACCUCCAAACUUCAUGUGGCCUUCAGAUUAGCUCAAGAACAGUGCGCAGAGAGCUUCAUGGAAUGGGUUUCCAUGGCCGAGCAGCUGCAUCCAAGCCAUACAUCACCAAGUGCAAUGCAAAGCGUCGGAUGCAGUGGUGUAAAGCACGCCGCCACUGGACUCUAGAGCAGUGGAGACGCGUUCUCUGGAGUGACAAAUCGCACUUCUCCAUCUGGCAAUCUGAUGGACGAGUCUGGGUUUGGCGGUUGCCAGGAGAACGGUACUUGUCUGACUGCAUUGUGCCAAGUGUAAAGUUUGGUGGAGGGGGGAUUAUGGUGUGGGGUUGUUUUUCAGGAGCUGGGCUUGGCCCCUUAGUUCCAGUGAAAGGAACUCUGAAUGCUUCAGCAUAUCAAGACAUUUUGGACAAUUCCAUGCUCCCAACUUUGUGGGAACAGUUUGGAGCUGGCCCCUUCCUCUUCCAACAUGACUGUGCACCAGUGACCAAAGCAAGGUCCAUAAAGACAUGGAUGACAGAGUCUGGUGUGGAUGAACAUGACUGGCCUGCACAGAGUCCUGACCUCAACCCGAUAGAACACCUUUGGGAUGAAUUAGAGCGGAGACUGAGAGCCAGGCCUUCUCGUCCAACAUCAGUGUGUGACCUCACAAAUGUGCUUCUGGAAGAAUGGUCAAAAAUUCCCAUAAACACACUCCUUAACCUUGUGGACAGCCUUCCCAGAAGAGUUGAAGCUGUUAUAGCUGCAAAGGGUGGACCGACGUCAUAUUGAACCCUAUGGAUUAGGAAUGGGAUGUCACUUAAGUUCAUAUGCGAGUCAAGGCAGGCUCAGCUUAGCACCAUGCAUUUGACUCACUUGACUCAAUUGACUCACGUGCACACGGCCACCAUAGCUCCGAGCCCAGUCAGCAUGAGGCACCGGCUCAAAGGAGGUGAAGCAAGGAAGGUUCCUCUCUAUCAGCAUGACCAAAAUCAGGAUGCGGAGAACGUACCCAAACCUGCUCCAUCAUCUGCCGUCCCAAACGUUCUCACCGUCCCAGAAAAGCGAGGACGCUUCAGGAGCCGUAACGUUAUAUCACUAGUGAGUCAUCUGUGUGUAUGAAGCAGAGGAACUUGUUGAUGUUGUGUGUCACGUGUGUGUAGUCAAAACUAUGGAAAGUGAUCAGUUGUCAAGAAAAAUGACUCAUGCAGUGCAAAGUGAUGUUAUUUUCUUCAUUCAAAGGUCGAGUAAGAUUUUGGCGAAGAAGAGCAAUAGCUGAUCAGAAAAUUGUGUAAGAAUGUCUAUGAAUCAUGUAAGGAGUCGACUCUUAUUUGACUCGCUGAAAAGAAUCAGAACUCCCUUCAGCUCUAUUGGUGUGUUGCUGGUAUAUGAUCAAUAUAGAUUUCUUGAGUGAGGAAAAAAAGGAGCGUGAGGAGCUUUACUAGGAUUUGACUGAGACAGUGGCAUGUGUUGGAGAGUGACGCAGACAGCAUGUGUCUCAUUUGCCAUGAUGAUUUGUGUAAAGGAGGAGGAACCGUCCAGGAACUGCAUUGUUCACACAGCUUCCACAGUGAGUGUAUAGAGCUGUGGUUAUGGAUGAAGCAGACUUGCCCGAUGUGUCAUAAGCACAUGGCCGUGCCCGAGCCUCUGUACUGGACGUCCGCUCAUCUUAAAGUGCCCUAAAGCUUCACUCCCUCAUAUCUAAAUCUGUCAUGAUAAAGAAAUUGGACCGUCCAUCCAGAGAUCAACGGAUUUCUUUAAUAAAGCCUGUUGUUCAACUGUCAGCAAAUUGACCUUCAGCUAGUUAUCAUGGUUAUAAGCCAAACUGCAAACUCUAAAAAUCUGAGAAGCCAUGAACAGGUCCAGACACUUCAGACGUUCCUCAAUUCCACACAGUAGCUGCAGUCCUUUUCUAUUAGUUUCAUAAAAUGGUUAAAAGGUUUAAUCUAAACCUCAGUACUGUUGAUGUCGGCUUAAACGUAAUUGCAAAUUACACCAAAAGGUUAUUUUUUUUCCUGCCGCAAAAGUGUUGAUUCGGAAUAAGGUGAUUGGAAAUAAGGACCCACUUCAGGUUAAUGCACUUCAGCAUUUUCAUAUCCUGCCUGUCGUCUGUGGGAAGCCAUUUAAACUGAAUGCCAAUAAAAUAUCUGUGGGUAAAAGUCUGCCUGCAGGUGCCCAAAUAUUCUGUUGUUCGAAAGAAAAAUGUUAAGGAAAAUCUAAAUUAUGUUGAAUGUUGCUCAAGUCUGUACAACUUACUAAAUGAAUAAAUAUCACAGACUUUUUAAAUGAUGCAUUAUUUUUGUAAACUAGCAUGUAAACAAUUUGGAAUCUACAUUUUUAUGGUUUUAGGUCUGUGAGGAAAUACACCGAAUAGGUAUAACACUGUGAGCACUGAGAGGUGAAAUGAAUAAGACUGAUGAUCUCCUCAUCAUGGCACCUGUUAGUGGGUGGGAUAUAUUAGGCAGCAAGUAAACAUUUUGUCCUCAAAGAUGAUGUGUUAGAAGCAGGAAAAAUGGACAAGCGUAAGGAUUUGAGCGAGUUUGACCAAGGGCCAAAUUGUGAUGGCUAGACCACUGGAUCAGAGCAUCUCCAAAACUGCAGCUCUUGUGGGGUGUUCCCGGUCUGCAGUGGUCAGUAUCUAUCAAAAGUGGUCCAAGGAAGCAACAGUGGUGAACCGGCGACAGGGUCCUGGGCGGCCAAGACUCAUUGGGGAGCGAUUAGAAGGCUGGCCCGUGUGAUCCGAUCCAACAGACGAGCUACUGUUCCUCAAAUCGCUGAAGACGUUAAUACUGGUUCUGACAGAAAGGUGUCAGAAUACACAGUGCAGGAUGGGUCAGGGCUGUUUCGGCAGCACCAACACAAUAUUAGGCAGGUGGUCAUAAUGUUAUGCCUGAUUGGUGUAUUCAGCAGGAAGUGGCUGCAGCUAAAUAAAAUUAUGGUGCAUAUCUUAUUGACCCAUCGUGCCUGAUAUCUCAUCAGAUGGAUUAUAUUUAUAUAAUAAAUCAAAACAGGGAUUUUUUUUUUUUUUAGUUUUAGGAAUUUAGAUGUAAUGUAGCUAUUCACAUCGACUAUUUAGAAUUUUUCCCCCCUAAAUAUAUGAAUUCAAUUAUUAUCCUGUAAACAGAAUAUGUACAAGAAAUUUGGGGACGUUUAUUAUCCUGCACAUACAAAAACAUUUGAGAAUUUUUUUUUUUGUUGCAUGAAUCAUUUUUAUAUUAACAUUAUAAAUGGAAAAAUCUUAAA